ACGCUAGCGGCAGGCUUAAUACAUGCAAGUCGAGGGGCAGCGCGGGUAGCAAUACCUGGCGGCGACCGGCAAACGGGUGCGGAACACGUACGCAACCUCCCCGGAACAGGUGAAUAGCCUUGCGAAAGUAAGAUUAAUACACCGUACCAUAUAGUUGUGGCAUCACGAUUAUAUUAUAGGUAGCAAUACCGGUUCCGGAUGGGCGUGCGCCUGAUUAGGUAGUUGGCGGGGUAACGGCCCACCAAGCCUUCGAUCAGUAACUGGUGUGAGAGCACGACCAGUCACACGGGCACUGAGACACGGGCCCGACUCCUACGGGAGGCAGCAGUAAGGAAUAUUGGUCAAUGGACGCAAGUCUGAACCAGCCAUGCCGCGUGAAGGAUGAAGGCCCUCUGGGUUGUAAACUUCUUUUAUCUGGGACGAAACAAGGGAAUUCUUUCCCUCUUGACGGUACCAGAGGAAUAAGCACCGGCUAACUCCGUGCCAGCAGCCGCGGUAAUACGGAGGGUGCAAGCGUUAUCCGGAUUUACUGGGUUUAAAGGGUGCGUAGGUGGGCUGAUAAGUCAGUGGUGAAAUCUUCAAGCUUAACUUGGAAACUGCCAUUGAUACUAUUAGUCUUGAAUAUCCCGGAGGUAAGCGGAAUAUGUCAUGUAGCGGUGAAAUGCUUAGAUAUGACAUAGAACACCCAUUGCGAAAGCAGCUUACUACAGGAUUAUUGACACUGAGGCACGAAAGCGUGGGGAUCAAACAGGAUUAGAUACCCUGGUAGUCCACGCCCUAAACGAUGGAUACUCGACAUCAGCGAUACACAGUUGGUGUCUGAGCGAAA
rnacentral:rRNA from 1 species